UGUUGAUCAAGUCUCGUUCGUUUUAUAUGUUAUACUGUCAUUGCUAUAUUUUAUUUUGUUGUCAACGGGUCAGAAAUUGUUUCUCUGUUUCUCUUUUCCUUGAAAAAGCUUUGUCGGUUAAAUAAUCUUUUCUAUACUAGUAAAAUCCCGUCGCAUGUUUUGUGCGCCUGAACCAAGUCCUGAAAAUGUUGGUAAUUUGUACGGCCUUCACACAAAAGAAAUUUUAGUUAAUGAUGUGAUAUUUUUACAUUAUGCUUCGUCUUCAUAUUUGAUUCCCUUUUAGUUGA
rnacentral:lncRNA from 1 species